UACGGGGGGGGCAAGCGUUGUUCGGAAUUACUGGGCGUAAAGGGCUCGUAGGUGGCCAACUAAGUCAGACGUGAAAUCCCUCGGCUUAACCGGGGAACUGCGUCUGAUACUGGAUGGCUAGAGUUUGGGAGAGGGAUGCGGAAUUCCAGGUGUAGCGGUGAAAUGCGUAGAUAUCUGGAGGAACACCGGUGGCGAAGGCGGCAUCCUGGACCAACACUGACACUGAGGCACGAAAGCGUGGGGAGCAAACAGG
rnacentral:rRNA from 1 species